rnacentral:rRNA from 1 species
UGGGGAAUAUUGCGCAAUGGGGGAAACCCUGACGCAGCGACGCCGCGUGGGUGAUGAAGGCCUUCGGGUCGUAAAGCCCUGUCGGGAGGGAAGAAACACUCCGGACCUAAUACGUCCGGGAAUUGACGGUACCUCCUAAGGAAGCACCGGCUAACUCCGUGCCAGCAGCCGCGGUAAUACGGAGGGUGCUAGCGUUGUUCGGAAUCACUGGGCGUAAAGGGCGUGUAGGCGGCGUAAUAAGUCACUUGUGAAAUCUCCGGGCUUAACUCGGAGCGGCCAAGUGAUACUGUUAGGCUAGAGUGCAGAAAGGGCAAUCGGAAUUCUUGGUGUAGCGGUGAAAUGCGUAGAUAUCAAGAGGAACACCUGAGGCGAAGGCGGGUUGCUAGGCUGACACUGACGCUGAGGCGCGAAAGCUAGGGUAGCAAACGGGAUUAGAUACCCCCGUAGUCCCUGAGCGGGCUGGCAAGGCGCAU